rnacentral:rRNA from 1 species
GAUGAACGCUAGCGACAGGCCUAACACAUGCAAGUCGAGGGGCAUCAUGGGAGUAGCAAUACUUUUGAUGGCGACCGGCGCACGGGUGAGUAACGCGUAUGCAACCUGCCCGCAACAGGGGGGAUAGCCCGUUGAAAGACNGNAUUAAUACCGCAUAAUACAUUUGUCCUGCAUGGGACGAUUCGUUAAAGACAAGUUGGUUGCGGAUGGGCAUGCGUUCCAUUAGGUAGUUGGUAAGGUAACGGCUUACCAAGCCAUCGAUGGAUAGGGGAACUGAGAGGUUUAUCCCCCACACUGGUACUGAGACACGGACCAGACUCCUACGGGAGGCAGCAGUGAGGAAUAUUGGUCAAUGGGCGGGAGCCUGAACCAGCCAAGUCGCGUGAAGGACGACGGUCUUAUGGAUUGUAAACUUCUUUUGUACCGGAGUAAAAGUCAAUACGUGUAUUGUUUUGCAAGUACGGUACGAAUAAGCAUCGGCUAACUCCGUGCCAGCAGCCGCGGUAAUACGGAGGAUGCGAGCGUUAUCCGGAUUUAUUGGGUUUAAAGGGUGCGUAGGCUGUAGAUUAAGUCAGCGGUGAAAGUUUGAGGCUCAACCUUAAAAUUGNCCGUUGAAACUGGUUUACUUGAGAGUAAAUGAAGUGGGCGGAAUUUGUGGUGUAGCGGUGACAUGCAUAGAUAUCACGAGGAACUCCGAUUGCGCAGGCAGCUCACUAAGCUACAUCUGACGCUGAAGCACGAAAGCGUGGGUAUCAAACAGGAUUAGAUACCCUGGUAGUCCACGCAGUAAACGAUGAUUACUAGCUGUUUGCGAUAUGAAUGUAAGCGGCUAAGCGAAAGCGAUAAGUAAUCCACCUGGGGAGUACGCCGGCAACGGUGAAACUCAAAGGAAUUGACGGG